rnacentral:lncRNA from 1 species
UGGUCUCCUGUGGGCUCUCAUUCCUCCUUCCUUCCUCUUUUUCUCUAUUAAAAGGUGCAGAAGGAAUCAGUGAUUGGCUGGAGUAAUGGGCAGAGAAUAAGAAGUGUGUAACCCAAGUAAUAUUUCUUGCACGAGAUAAUGACAUAUCGAGUGCCUCCAGGGGCCAAAAAUAUUCAGCUUUAUCUCGGGUAAAUAACAUGUGCUCUGCUGUUUGUGAUCAAGCACUGGGAGACUCAGUCGGGGCAAGCUGUCUAAGACUGUUCAGUGUUGCUGCUGGAACUGGAAUCCAGGGGAUGCUUGGCAACUCGGCCACCCUGCCCAGACGAAGCCGUCCCAGGACAUUAGUUUUGGAUCCUUUCUGAGUGACAACAUAGACCUUGGCAUUUAGGAGGCCUGAAUGAAUCAAAACUAUUAACAAACACAAAGAUGUGGAGAAGCUGCAUGAAAUCAUGGUACUGACAACUAUUUUGAAGUUAGGCAGAACUGAGUUUGAAAUCUGAUUCCACCACUUUGUUUCAGGAAUUGACAUAAGUUAUAUAUAAACUGACAUCUCAGUUUCUUCAAAAAAUGCAGUCUCUCUCUCUCUCUCUCUAUAUAUAUAUAUAUAUAUAUACACACACACACACACAUACACAUUUGGUUAGGGUUAUUUUGAACAGUAAACGCGAAGGAGAAAGCACGCAUAGGAAAUGGCCAAAAAAGGGAUAAUGGGAGCAGGAGUAAUAGUUAACAGUAGUGAUGGUUAUUGUUACUCUCUUUUGUCUUCCUUUAAUAUAAGGGGCUAAAGUAUAUAUUAAAUAUGUUCAAGUUAUGAUGAAGCACUAGUGAAAUACUGAAAAGCCUUAAAAGUAAGCACUAUGUCUGUUAAUACUGAAUCAACAACUAGAUACUGACCCUGGAAAGUCACUGAUGGACGCCAUGGGAAACAGAAUCAUAUGGUAAAAGAGCUGACAUAAUUAUUAGUAUAAUCACUUGUGUAAAGACACAAAACAUAACCAUAAAAUGUUCAAGAUGUUAAAAGGCACUCGCGUCCACCCCAAAUUACCAAAGGCAAGGGCAGACCCAGACAGGCGUGGUCUGGGAAUUCUUUGUGGAGUAGGAUUUGGAUGCUACAGGGUGAUUAAGUUGUAUUCAGACAAGGAAGAGAAUGGAAGGCCACUCAGGGCAGUGACAGGGCAUCCAGAAAAGCAUGCUGGAGUUCCCGUCGUGGCGCAGUGGUUAACGAAUCCGACUAGGAACCAUGAGGUUGCGGGUUCGGUCCCUGCCCUUGCUCAUGGUUUAAGGAACUGGCGUUGCCAUGAGCUAUGGUGUAGGUUGCAGACAUGGCUUGGAUCUGGUAUUGCUGUGACUAUGUAACACAGGAUCCUUAACCCACAGAGAGGCUGGGGAUGGAACCCACAUCCUCAUGGGAACACUCACAGUGGGAACUCCCAAGCGGGAUUUUCUUGAUGGAGGUUUAAUUCCUUGUUUAAAUAAAGAGCCAGUGCCUGGACUAAGCUGACCAGCACAUUACAUCGGGUGUGCUUAGUUAUUUUUGACAGCUGCAGUUUAUGUUUUGUCCUUCAGGGCGAGGCAGGUUCCAUGGCAAAUAUGCUCAAAUGGUAACUGCUUGAAUCAGCACUGUCCUCCUGGCUUCCCCAUGUGAGUGGAGCUUAGCCAACCUCUGCCCACACUUCAGGAUUGUUCUCAAUCUCCUCCUCUUUGCCACAGUCCUGGCUCUCUAAACCAAGCAGGAAGUGUCUUCUGCCCCCCUGAACUUCCAUGGUACUUGCUCUCUGGACUCUGACCCUGAUCAAGGUCACCUAUGGCAAAUCGCAGUGGAAAGGACGCUGCCAUGGGAACACCACCCCUGCUGUUAACAUGACUGCAUCAUGGGCUGUGUGCAAGGAUUCACCUCUCUGGGGUUUCAUUUCCUCAUUGCAAAAUGAGGGAGUUACACUAGUUGGGUUACAUGGCUUCUAAGUUUCCCUCCAGCUCUAAAAGUCUAUGAAAAAUGCCAGACAGCUUAAUCCUAGUUGAAAGCUCCCUGGAAAUGUGGAAGGUGAAAUGCAAAAGUAUGGAACGCUGGGCCACAUUCAAACUGUUAAAGAGCUGAAAACAAGGAUUUGAAGGUUAUGUUCCUCUAUAUUUUCCAAAGAACGAUGGCAUUGUCAAACUACACAUGCAACCAAGAGAUGGCCCAGCAGGGUCAUUGGCCUGAGGCACAGGUUGUGAUAACCAUUGCUGUGGAAUGCUCAUCAUGAUAAAGUUGGAUUGUCACAAUUACACACAAACUCAAGAAAGUAAGUAGUAGGGAAAACUACUUAAAUAUUCCUUUCAGAGUUCCCUGGUGGCUUAGCAGUUCAGGAUCUGACAUUGUCACUGCCAUGGUUCAGGUUGCUGCUGAGUGACGGGAUUCGAGUCCUGGCCCGGGAACUUCCACAUGCCAAGGGAGUGACUAAAAGAAAAAGAAAAAAAACCUACAAAACUGAAAAAACCAACAACCAUAUUCCUUUCAGUCAUGAUCAAGCAAUGUGAAUUCAAGACAUCAUGCUUUAGAUAAGUCAUAUACAAUCCCCCCAGAUGUCAAAAAUAUAUGCUUAAAUUUGUUUCCCUAGAGGAUGAGCUUUAAAUAAUAAGUGAUCUGGCAAUAGAAAGAGAUCUGGAGAACCAGCAUUUUUCUUACUAAAUUACACAGUUUCUUAUCUUUUAAAAUAAUUUAUGAAGACAUGUUAAAAUGAGACCAAAAUAUCCGUCCUUCAGGAGAAAAGACAGAUGGAGCAGAAAUUCAGGCUUGAGAGAGCCUCUAUGAUUGAACUCUACGUUUAGGGCUAAUUUUGCCUGGCAGCUGAGCCCAAAAAGGAUGGUUAGUUCCAACAGGUUUUCACAAGAGGUGGGAAAUUUACCAAAGGGAUAAAUUCAUCACAUAUAAUCUCAACUGGAAAGACACGGUACAUUAAAACUAGGAUAAUCCAAGGAGGGGUUCUUUACAAAAAGGACUAAAGUACAAAUUUGUGGGCAGAGUGUGAGGGAGCCACAGGGCAAGUACAGGCACCUGGGGCUGACCACACAGGAGCUGUUACCAUCUGCAGUGGAUUAAACACCACCUCCCCACCCCCCAAAAUUCAUGUAAACCCAGAGGCAACCUUCUUCGGGAAUUUGCAAAGGACAGAGAUAGCCUUCAAUCCAAUGGUAGCUUCCUCGGAUGAGACAGAAAAGGACAUAGACGUAGAGAAGGUGACCAUUUAAAGACGGAAGCAAGUCCAUGAUUUUCUUUUCUGUGGAAAGGUUCACUGUACCGUAUAUUAGAUUCCAGAUAUAAGUGAUAUCAUAUGAUAUCUGUCUCUUUCUUACUUCACUCAGGAUGAGGGUCUCUAGUUCUAUCCAUGUUGUGUAGCACUGGGAACUAUGUCUAGUUACGUGUGAUCGAGCAUGUUAAUGUGAGAAAAAAGAAUGUAUACAUGUAUGUGUAACUGGGUCACCAUGCUGUACAGUAGAAAAAAAUAAUGCAUUGGGGAAAUUUUAAAAUAUACAUAUAAAAAAAUAAAGAUGGUGGCAGAGACUGGAAUGAUGUGUUUACGGCUCCCUCCCUGGCCUCUGAUGACCUUCAUAUUCCACCUCCAUUCUACUUUUCCAACCUCAUUCCCAUCACCGGUCAAGGAGAACCUCAGUGCGGCCAGGCUGCUGCCUGUGUUGUCCUAGCCUCUCUCUGUGCUCAUCAGUCCCUUUAUGACCUAAGACCAGUUACCUAUACUUUGUACGUCAAGGUCUGCCACGAACCUAAUGGAACUGUAAACACCUGUCAAAAAUCUUACAACAACAGGACUUCCUAUUGCAGCUCAGUGGGUUAAGGACCUGACGUUGUCUCUGCGAGGAUGGGAGCUCAAUCCCUGGCCUCGCUCAGGGGGUUAAGGAUCCAGUGUUGCUGCAAGCUGCAGUGUAGGUCACAGAUGCUGCUCGGAUCCCCGUGUUGCUGUGGCGUGAGGCAUCGGCCGGCAGCUGCAGCUCCCAUGUGACCCCUAGCUUGGGAACUUCCGUAUGCUGUAGGUGCAGCCACAAAAAGAAAAACACUUACAAUACACACAGCCAGCAUUUCCUUAGCAAUCAGUAGUAAAUACAUACCUAAUCAUAACCCUUUAUGUCGUUUCCUAUUCUUAUUUUCCCCGAUAAGCAUACAAGCAAUGUGUUAUGGCAGUUCAUGUCUCUCUGGGCUGAAGAAGCUAUUAUCACAGAGAUUAAGAGCUUCAGCUUUGGAGUCAGGCCAGAGUUUGAAUUUCAGUCCACCUGUGUAACCUUGCAAGUCACUGACCUCCUCUCUGAGCCUCAUUUUUCUCAUUGAUGAAGAUGACAAUCUGAAACUUGCUUCAUACCAUUAUCAUAAAGGCAAAAAUUGCUAAUUUAUGUAAAACACUUAGCACAGUGUCAGCAAAAAGUUAAAGAUUAUAAACAGUGCAGCAAAGUCACAUAACUUACACUCAAGGCCAAUAUGUGAGGUUUUUUUAAGGAAGAGGUGCUAUUUAUGUUCAUCACUCAAUUUUCAGGAAGGUUUUUUUUUUUUUCUGUUGACUAUAACUUUUAUUUUUUCCAUUAUAGCUGGUUUACAGUGUUCUGUCAGAUUUUCCACUGUACAGCAAGGUGACCCAGUCACACAUACAUACAUACAUUCUUUUUAUCACAUUAUCCUCCAUCACGCUCCAUCAUAAGUGACUAGAUAUAGUUCCCAGUGCUAUGUGAGAUUAGUUUUUAAUUCCCUGCAGCCCAUAUAUGGACAUUUGGUCGCUGAGAUCCAUCAUAUGGCCCCCAUUCCCCUUCCCUGUGUCUUCACACCAACGUUUUUGUUCAGGCAUGCUGAUCUGGGAACCAGCAGAGAGAAGCUUCUAGACCCUGCUUAUUUCAAACAACCAAACUGGGAAAUCAGUACUUCUGUGGAUCCCAAAUUGUCCUGGAUUCUCAAUAAACAGACUUGCUGAGAAACUGGCCACAGUGGGUAGCGGUUAAUAGAUUAUUUCCAUAUUUGUCAA